rnacentral:lncRNA from 1 species
CAAAUAGGGCAAGGAUCAUCAAUGCAACAGAUCUGGCAUAAACUUAAAGAGUUGCAGCAGCAGCUGAAGGGACUCAAUAGGCACAUGGCUUCUUAUCAACAGAAAUUGAUUUAUGCAAGGGAGCAACUGGACAUUAUUCAAAGUCAGAUGAUGAAGAACCCUGGUUCAACUCACUUAUUCAAUGCAGAGAAGGAAGCACUUCUUAACAUAGAGA